rnacentral:rRNA from 1 species
AUGGACCUGAUAUCAGGCAAGAUUACCCGCUGAACUUAAGCAUAUCAUAAAGCGGAGGAAAGG